UACGUAUGGUGCAAGCGUUAUCCGGAUUUACUGGGUGUAAAGGGAGCGUAGGCGGCGCGUUAAAUCUGAUGUGAAAACCCGAGGCUCAACCACGGGAGUGCAUUGGAAACUGGCGGGCUGGAGUGCCGGAGAGGUAAGCGGAAUUCCUAGUGUAGCGGUGAAAUGCGUAGAUAUUAGGAGGAACACCAGUGGCGAAGGCGGCUUACUGGACGGCAACUGACGCUGAGGCUCGAAAGCGUGGGGAGCAAACAGG
rnacentral:rRNA from 1 species